rnacentral:rRNA from 1 species
GACGAACGCUGGCGGCGUGCCUAAUACAUGCAAGUCGAGCGAACGGACGAGAAGCUUGCUUCGUUGAUGUUAGCGGCGGACGUGUGAGUAACACGUGUAUAACCUACCUAUAAGUCUGGGAUCACUUCGGGACACCGGAUCUAAUACCGGAUAAGAUUUUGAACCGCAUGGUGCGAAAGUGAAAGACGGUCUUGCUGUCACUUAUAGAUGGAUCCGCGCUGCAUUAGCUAGUUGGUAAGGUAACGGCCUACCAAGGCGACGAUGCGUAGCCGACCUGAGAGAGUGAUCGGCCACAUUAGAGCUGAGACACGGUCCAGACUCCUACGGGAGGCCGCAGUAGGGAAUGUUACGCAGUGGGCGAAAGCCUGACAGAGCAAGGCGGAGUGAGUGAUGAAAGUCUUCGGAUCGUAAUGCUCUGUUAUUAGGGAAGAACAUAUGUGUACGGAGAUGUGCAGAGCUUGACGGUAACUAAUAAGAAAGCACCGGCUAACUACGUG